GCGAGCAGCCCGGAGCCAGGCCUUCGUGGAGAAAGAAGGUGCUCCGGGCCCCGAGACCCCAGCAGAGGUGCCCCGGGAAAGUGUCCCAUUCCCGCGUCCGCUGUCUCGCUCGUGCCACCGUUCCUGCAUCUGGCAUCCACCCGUCACAGAGCCCAGGGCCCUCAAGCGUCAGGAGAACCCGGCUGGAACUACUUCUUGGUAUAUAUAGGUUUUGGAAAGUAUAUUCACGAUUGCUGCGCUUGGGGACACAAGCAGAGUGCUUCCUCGGGAGCUGAAGAGCUGGUGGGGGCGGGGCGCUGGUCUGCUGAGCUGAGGACAGCUUCCAGGACAAGUAGCAUUGGUGGUCUCUCUGGACGCCCCGCCAAGCCCCCGGCCGAGGAGGAACCGGAGGCAGGUUGGGAGAGGGCCGCCAAGAAGAGAGGCGGAUGGACCUGCACCCACAGGCCUGUGAGUGUGGGGGCUGGGUUGGGCCGACAGGCGGGCCCAGCUGUCCCCUCGUGUCCCCAGCUACAGCUCAGGGCUCAUUUCUGGCAGAACCACCCCAGGGGCCACCUGCUCCCAGGCCCAGCCCAAGAGAUGGUUCAGCUCAUCUGCCUGGUCGGCAAGGGUCUCGUGGGCGGGCCCCUCCCUCACCGACCUCAGGGCCUCCAAGCCUCUGUGGCCCGGCUGGGGUCUUCCGAAAAGGACGACCUCCCUCCUGGUGCGUGGGCAAGGGUGCAGAUAAGUGGGCUUAUCCCACCAACACGGGGCUGGGUUGGUUCCACCAUCCCGGAGGGCCGUGCCUGUCCACCCUCAAGGUGUCUGUGGGUAUUUCGGCACCCUAAGCGUGUGCCACACCCCAAGUGUGCCAGGCAAUCGCUGUUCCGGUGAUGGUGAGAAAUACGACACAGAUUAACAGCUCACUGACAGGGGACUACAGCAGGUCGUGGUAAAGGAAGGAGCGCCACACGGAACAGAACCUUCGUUGCAUCGGCUCAUUUGUGCAAAGCCCGCACUUUGCGGUGUGUGUGAUCGCACCGCACAGAGGGUAGGUGCCUGAUACGCAUCCCCCGUCGCAUCACGCGCCAGUGACAGUCUGGCUAUCAAAUCCCAGGGGACGUGAUUUCCUUCAAAAUUCUGGAUACUUCAUUUGACUUGCAGCGCGCCCCCCCCCCCCCCCACCCCGCACCGUGUUGUGGGAAAGCCCGAAGCUGCUUCCUUAGCCCUCCUGUGACAGGACUGGGUCCCAGGCUGUCUUUUCCCAGCUCUGGUCCAGCUGUGACCGCUGCCCUGGGGCAUCCUGCUGUCCCCGGCCAGCAGGCCUGGAAGUUUCUGAAUUGUUUCUUCAACGAUUUCCUUCCCUCCGUGUUCUCUAUUCCCUUUUUAAAAGUCCUAUUAGGGUGUCGAGCCACCAACCUGGUCACCCACAGGUUAAAAACUCUCUUUUCUCUAGUUUUCUGUCACUUUGUCCUUUGGCUUUGCUUUCUGGAAGAUUUCUUCAACCUCGUUGUGCAGAUAUAUUUUUUUUUUUUUUUUUUUUUUUUAGUAGGCUUCAUGCCCAGCGUGGAGCCCAACCUGGGGUUUGAACUCAUGACCCUGAGAUCAAUGCCUGAGCUGAGAUCAAGAGUCAGACACUUAACCGACUGAGCCACCAGGCGUCCCCUGAUCUGGUUUACUAUUGAAUUUUUUAUUUCUAAGAGCUUGUCUUUGUUCUCUGGGCUUCCUUCAAAGAGCCCAGUGCUGUGUUUCAGCUUCGACCCCGCUGCUGGGUGCACGGAGGGUAUCUGUGCUGCCCUCUCCUUUGAUGAGUGUCUCCCCCACCCCACACCCUGGUCUCGCCCGGCAGGCGGGUUCUCUCUGUGUCUGUUUGGGUCUGUGUUUCACACAACCU
rnacentral:lncRNA from 1 species